CAAAAUGAGAUAGACUGAAAGGAGGAUUUGGAAGAGACAACAUAGCGUUGGAAGAGAUCGCAAAGGCCAUCCAUCCAAGUUGUAAGACCCAAUGGAGUCCCCGGUGGCGCAAUGGGUUAAGCCCUUGUGCCGGCAGGACUGCUGACCGAUAGGUCGCCGGUUCCAAUCGGGUUAGAGCGCGGAUGAGCUCCCUCUGUCAGCUCCAGCUCCCCAUGCGGAGACAUGAGAGAAGCCUCCCACAAGGAUGGUUUAAAGCUCCAGAGUGAAGAGACAGGAGCGAAAGAAAGCACCUGAAAAAGAACCACCAGGAAGACGGUUAAAAAAACCCUCUUUCCUUGAAAACCUGCAGGUGGGACGUGCAGGACUGGAGAUCCACUGUCCGAAAGCACUAAAAGAAGGUUUGGGAAACGUAAGUAAGAUGCUACAACAAAAGAUUAAAAAUCAAGGCCAUGUCUUGUGUCUACUUAAGUUUAUCUCUGUAAACUUUCUCUAUUUGUUUAGCUCAUCCCCAGGGUGAGACUGUACAUGUUACAAGAACAAAUUGUCUAUAAUGCACUCAAGCAAAAAUAUAUUAAAGUAAACCUCAAAUAUUCUAAACAAAUAGCUCUUUAGAAAUAUGUGCUCAAUAACUACAAUAAAAAUAAUACACAUUACCUAAUUAAUUUUAUAUGGAAAUAAGUCUAUUUUGACUUCUUAAGGGAAGCCACGUUAUCUUAGCUGAGCAGACAGCACUGUCAGUUUCAGAACUAUUGAAAGUACUACCAUUAUUUUAUGUUGAAUCAAUAAAGAUUUUCAUGUUAUAUUUAAUAUUGACAAAAUGAUAGUAUUUUGAAUUAUUGCAUCUAAUGGCAAUUGUUUGUUUGGUUGCAUGCUGCAAUUCAUUUAGGACAUUUUGUGUAAUGCCAAGUUUUCAACUUUGUUUGUGUUUCUAAAUACAUUACAACUGUACCCUCGGUUCGCUUCUGACACGAUAAAUAAAUAAAUGGCUAUUUACAAGUUGAAAUCCUAUGCGUUGAUAAUUUGCUGGAGUCUACAGAGACUUGCAUUUAAAAAACAGAAUGUGUCUGCGUAAUAAUUUAUGGUGAAAGUUUCAUUGUGCUUGAGUGUGGCAAAGUAUAAUAAAUGACAAUGUUUAUUCAUUGCUGUACUGCAGAUUACAGAAAUGUAAUCUGUUACAUUUUGUUCAGCUACAGUUAAGUCUCAUUCAUUUUUUAUUCUUUCACGUGGUUGUCUC
rnacentral:lncRNA from 11 species